ensembl:lncRNA
GUGCCAAAGUACAAAGACACACAGAUGUCUUGCAUUUCUCACCUUGGUACAAAAACAUCCUGGCAGUUUUAAGUAGUUUGAUUCCCGUCGUUGUCUCGAUAUAUCAAAGAUCAAGUGUGUAUCUGUGUGUGUGUGGGUGUUUGUGUUUGCCCUCACACAAGUUAUUAGCUUAGGGCAGGUGAGUGUUUGCCUACCCGUCUCCUUUUAUGAAGUGGCUGUUUACCAAAGGAAUGCACCACGUCCGAUUUGUCAUUGACUCUUAUUGUUCAGCUCAUCCAACUGGUGCCUAGAGAUGGAGCGGUGCUGCGCCCCGGCAAAUGAUCUCAGGUGAGCGCAGAAAACAGCCUGACUAAUGGAAACAUGAUCUCAAGAGAUUCCUUCAGGAUCAUACUUAAUCCUGGUUUGGACUGUGGACAUAGCAUCGCCUGCAGCAGAUGUUUGCUCCUGGCAUGGCUGCAAACUGCAUGAGCUCCAUCACCGACAAUCCAGUUCUCGGGAUGCAUCGCCAGCAGCUUGGACACGGAGAAGCUGUGACACAAACUCAGCAGGACAGUGGAGUGUAUUCUGCUGCUCGGAUAUUAUGGAACAGACCGGUCAACCUCGUCUGGAGAGGCACUCGAUAGGAAAAUCAGCUCUAUGAGGCUACGAUUACCGCGGUUACCACAAUGGAUCUACACAUUGUUUGACUUUUUCUAAAUUGAACCUGGAUUAAUAUUUCCCUGUAUAUACAUCUGCUUUUGAUAUUCAGUGUUUAUUCCCGCUGUUGCUCAUUCCCUGCACUUAUAUACUGUGUUAUUCUGGAUACAGUAUCAACAAAUGCUGGAACAGUAAACGGAAAAUAAUCAGCUGUUAUUUCCUCUUUAGGUCUAUUAUUUUUACAGGAGGAAGGCAGCACUUACACCAAUCUCGUAAGGAGCAAACUAAAUGUUUUCCUGUUGAAUUAAUUAACACACAUAGGAAUUGUCACAGGGAUUACUCAAUUAAUAAACAUUCAACAUCUUCCAAUUAAGAAAAGAUAAUCCUUUAUUAGUCCAGCAGCAGGGAAAUUACAACAAUUGCCUUCACAAUGAAGCCAUUGAACCAAAGGUGCUUAUGAAUACAACUAUUGACAACUCUUUGGGAGUCUUGUUCAUUCUGGUUGAGGAAUCUUUUCCAACUCUUUGAUCUGAUAAAGACGUAUUGCUUCAUCGGACUUGUCUGUGUAACCCUCGAACAGAAAUAAAAAAGAAAAGGUGUAAUCAA